CCUUUCAUAUUGUUUUCUUGCCAUUCUUUAGUUUCUCCCGAAAUUCAUUGUAAAGAGAGAACAGUUUCAUUCUUUGAAAUGGAAAAUGGAACCGUUUGCUCUAAAAAUGGUGGAAGACCCUCAUAUCCAUAAUCAGUUGAUUUGCAAGAUCUACGGGAUUUUCAAUUGGAUUGGUUUUUCACCUAUUAACCAGAAUCCUGCUGGACUGCUACACCAAAUCUUGGAAGAUCUUCCUGCUAUGAUUCUUAUCAUUUGCGGCUCUUUUUUUUUUAUCGUUUUCCCCCUCUAUGAUACACAGAUUGCGACCUCUGUUUUUUCCACUCUCUAUUAUUCCAAUCAAGAUAUGGACUGAAUUCUUUCUAAAAUGUAAAUUACCGCUUGGAAUGUGAGGCAUAUUGAUUCUCAACCAAAGAUAAUAUCUUGGCAGCUACCCAGAACCUUGCUAGCCGACUGUGUGUGGUGAUGGACUGGCCCUUUUGAAAGUGGGACUGUGAUCAUGUGUUUUUUUCAUUGCUAGAAUCUAGAAGUUGCUUCCAGACAAAAGAAGGGUACGGAAAACUUUAUUUGAUUGUCUUUACUACUUUUACUUGAGUACUUAGGUUUAGCUAUAAUUUCUCACCAUAUAACUACAUCGUAAAAUUGGAUCUUUUCACUCACUUCACAAAUAUUUCCUUCCAUAUUGUUUGGUUAAUUGGUGUCAAAGAAUAAUAGAAGUGUAAUUUUGGGCGUUAAUCAUUGGAUGACAGUGGCUUGAGUAAAUGUGGGGUGAAUAUGAACUUGUGUUACUUUUGUACUUUAUCUUGCUAAGAUUUGAAUUCCAAAAUAAAACGGAUGGAUUCCCCUUUUCUUUUUCCCCCUUGGUAG